ACACUCCUACGGGAGGCAGCAGUGGGGAAUAUUGGACAAUGGGCGCAAGCCUGAUCCAGCCAUGCCGCGUGAGUGAUGAAGGCCCUAGGGUUGUAAAGCUCUUUCACCGGAGAAGAUAAUGACGGUAUCCGGAGAAGAAGCCCCGGCUAACUUCGUGCCAGCAGCCGCGGUCAUACGAAGGGGGCUAGCGUUGUUCGGAAUUACUGGGCGUAAAGCGCACGUAGGCGGAUCGAUCAGUCAGGGGUGAAAUCCCAGGGCUCAACCCUGGAACUGCCUUUGAUACUGUCGAUCUGGAGUAUGGAAGAGGUGAGUGGAAUUCCGAGUGUAGAGGUGAAAUUCGUAGAUAUUCGGAGGAACACCAGUGGCGAAGGCGGCUCACUGGUCCAUUACUGACGCUGAGGUGCGAAAGCGUGGGGAGCAAACAGGAUGAGAAACCCUGGUAGUCCCAUG
rnacentral:rRNA from 1 species